CUAUGAAAAUGUGAAAUGAAAACUUUUAUAAAGGAAAGAAACGUCAAAUGAAAAAUUUUAUAAAGGAAAUAUUUUUCAUUUCAUAUUUUCAUAGAACAAGAAUCCAGCCCCAGGGUUGCAAAAGUAGCAAUUUUACAAUGAUGGUUAUCAAUUACUUUUAAACUAAUUAUUUAUCAAUAAGUUAACACUAAUCAUCAUUUCAUUUUGUUUUGAUCGACAUUUUGUAAAUUCGUGGUGUGAUCUUGUGUUGUUUGAAAAUUAUUAAAAAUGUGAAAUUUAAAUAUUUUAUUGUGCUUUGUAAAAAUGCCGUGGCGUCCUAAUAUUUACAAUGCUCCUGUAUGGCUCAUUAAGAAAAAAAUAAUCAGGUGGAAAUAAUCUGUAUAACCUUUGAAGGUGGAGAAAUUCACUCAAAGACCAUCAAAAUCAGUCGACUCCCGCAGCGAUAGAACUAAACCCGAAAAUGUAAAGAUAUCAAUGACGAACUUGGAUGUGAUAUCGUUGCCGAGAGCUUUUUACAUCAAGUGAGUUCAAAACGACAGCGAACUAAAGCCCACAUCGGUCAAAAGUUAUUGAACAAUGGUCUAGCUUGAACAAAACAGAUUGUAAAAUAUGUUCCUAUUCCAAACGAUGAAAACCAGCUUUCAAAUGAUGAAUCGUUAGCACGUUUGGAUUUAAAAAGAUGCAACAUUCAGCUUAGAUUGCAUGUAAUUCAAAAGGGCUCAAAAUCUGUACACAUGGUAUCACGACAUAAUUGCUGCUAAAAAGAUGCUUGCCCCAGAGAUCAUGUUUCAUAUGAAAAAAAACAAUCCAAACAAUUUCUAUGUGAAAAUGUUUUAGACCCUGAUAUGUUCAAGGUGUCAUUUGUAUUUGCGAUGAAAAGGGAAAUUUGAAUAUGGGGAGCCUUCGACCAGUGUCAUUCACACAGAGGAUAUUUGGAGAAACAAACCGCCAAUAACAAUUAGUGAAGCACCAAAAACAAUUGAAGAAGUGAAACCUCAACGGGCAGAAAAUUAAAGGUGAUUAUCAAUUAGUGUAUUAGAUGGUAUGUGGAAAAGUUGUCCAUGUCCUUUCUGUUUGGAUUGAAGCUAAAUUUAACAAGAUUAUGUCCUGUUCAGUGAACUUUUGUCUAAGGCAGACAAGA